GGGGUUGUGGCUCAGUGGUAGAGUGCUCGCCUAGCAUGUGUGAGGCCCGGGGUUUGAUUCUCAACACCA
rnacentral:tRNA from 1 species